GACGAACGCUGGCGGCGUGCUUAACACAUGCAAGUCGAACGGAAAGGCCCUGCUUUUGUGGGGUGCUCGAGUGGCGAACGGGUGAGUAACACGUGAGUAACCUGCCCUUGACUUUGGGAUAACUUCAGGAAACUGGGGCUAAUACCGGAUAGGAGCUCCUGCUGCAUGGGGGGGGUUGGAAAGUUUCGGCGGUUGGGGAUGGACUCGCGGCUUAUCAGCUUGUUGGUGGGGUAGUGGCUUACCAAGGCUUUGACGGGUAGCCGGCCUGAGAGGGUGACCGGCCACAUUGGGACUGAGAUACGGCCCAGACGCCUACGGGAGGCAGAAGUGGGGAAUCUUGCACAAUGGGCGGAAGCCUGAUGCAGCAACGCCGGGUGCGGGAUGACGGCCUUCGGGUGGUAAACCGCUUUCGCCUGUGACGAAGCGUGAGUGACGGUAAUGGGUAAAGAAGCACCGGCUAACUACGUG
rnacentral:rRNA from 1 species